UAGCAGUCUCAAAAAUAAACAUUUUUCUAGAGACUAUUAUCUGCACUAAAAGUACCCUCAGACCAUUUUCAUUUUUCAUGAUGAACUCUGAGAGCUCCAAGUGGAUUGUUUCAUACUGCUGAGCACAGCCUGCUGCCUUCCCAGUAUCAUGCUACAUUUCCUUCUCACCAGGCUUCUCACUUGAUUUGUGUUUCUUUUAAUCCCAGGUUGCUCCUGUGCCAUCUCUGGUUUUCUGAGAUGGAUGCUGUCUCCUCUUCCCAUAUUGCCUGCCCCAUGCAUUCCAUGUGCUGCGAAAGAAACAUGAUUAGAGGGACCUGAGGGCUUUAGUCCUGAUUAUGAUCCAGUCAUUUGCUGCAGUGACAAAUAAUUUAUCUAUAUUAUACAGGCCCUCUCCUGAUCUGAUUAAUCAAUCAUUCCCAAACUUAGACAUUUUAACUACCACAGAGAUAUUGAAAAGACUUGAUCUUGCUCCAGACAUCUUCUGAGUGUAUUUGGGGGGGUUAUUAUUGUCUUACAUUAUAAUGGCUAAGAAAUUGAAUACAUUAUUUAUAUUAACAUAUUUUCAAUUUAUACUUUGAAAGAGAUUUUAGCUUCCUAAAUAUUUAAGCCAACGAGAAACACCGAAAUUCAUAACAGCAAGAUGACUCACUGUUAUGAUUCUUUAUGAUCCCCAUAUUUAUCUAUAUUAUGUAUGUGAGUCCACAAAGAAUUCAUUCAACAAACUUGUACCAGCUGGUGGAUUGUACCAUCAUCACACACUGAGCAAUGUAGCAAAUCAUUAUUAGGUAAUUACAAUGAUCAGAUUGAAAAAAAUGAAUAGGCAUUUAAAAAUGUCUUUUGCACAACUGUACUGUGUGAAUGUUUUUAUGUUUCCAGAUCAAUUAUAUUUUGUAUUUAGGAAAACCAAAUUCUCAGCCACUAUGUAAUGCAGUUUAUGGUUUUGAACUGUGCUCUGGGGCCUGACUACCUGAAAGGAAUUUUGUUAAUACCCAACAACACUGCAUAUGAUGCAAUGACCUUUUUAGGUAGCAAUCCUACUUCUAAGAAUCUACCCUAAAGCUAAACCUCAAACAAUUGGAAAAUAUAUAUAUACACAUGGUUAUUCAUUCUAGCAAUGUUUAUAAUUGCAAUAUAUUGGAAACACUCUAAAUAAUCUCAUUUAGGAGAAUGGUCAAAUAAGUUAUGUUACAGUUACACAAUGGAGUGCUAUACAAAUGUUAUUUGUGAAUGAUAUGGAGGUGAUUUCCAUGAUAUACUGUCAAGUGAAAAAAGAAAAUUGCAAAAAGAACAUCCUUCCCUUCUUGCAAGAAAGAAAGGGAUGUAAGAAAAUCAUCUUCUUAUCUUCUUAUUUAUGCAAAAUAAAUGCAUAAAGGACAAAAACAGAAGUUCAAGAAAUGUGUUACCUAUAAGGAGUAACUGAGAAAGGAGUGGAAGACAGGAAAGUCUCUCUCUGUCUCUUUCCUAUAUGGAUAUAUAACAAUAGCAUUUAGGACAUAUCUAGAUAGUUCAAGAUCUCUCUUCAUCUCAAGCCCAUAAUGUAGUCACAUUUUUGGCCAUAUUAGGUCAUAUUCAUAGGUCACAGGAAUUAGGACAUGGAUAUCCUUAAGGAAAGGGGUCAUUUUUCAGUCUGUUACAAUAUUUAUGACUGUAUGCCAAUGUAAAUAACUGAAUAUAUUGGGGAGGAAUGAUAGCUCUUCAUUAGAGAUGAAGUCAAAUUUUACAAAAUGUAGAAGGAAUGAAGGCAACAGAAAACCACCAUAGGCAAACGCUGUAGUAAAAAUUGUUGCAGAAAAAACCCAAUAUAUGCUUUAAUCAGUGGGCAAAAGUUUGAGGAAAAACAGAUGUUUGCAGAGUCUCAAAAUAUUUCUCUGAAAUAUCUGCCUUAUCAAUUACAAAGUGAAAAGUAAUUUUGUGUGAAGAAACCAAGAUCCCACUACAAUCAAUGAUGAGAUGUACUAACAUGACAUACCCAUAGUAUAAACGCACCAAGAAAGGCACAAGAUUUUCAUAGUAUUUUUGACAAAAUGUAUAACCUCAAUCUAACCAUGGGAAAAUAUCAGAAGAGCCAAAUUUGAGGGACAUGCUACAAAAUAACUUUCAAGUCCUUAUCCAAACGCCAGGGUUAUAUAAGGUAAGACUGAAGAGCUGCCUCUGAAUGGGGAAGACCAAGGAGUCAUGAUCCAAUGCAGUGUGAGAUCCUGGAUUAUUUCCUAGAACACAAGACAAGAGUAGUGAGAAAACUUGUGAAACUGGAACACGACCUUAUUGGAGGUGGAGUUCCCAUCAUGGCACAGUGGAAAUGAAUCCCACUAGGAGCCAUGAGGUUGCGGGUUUGGUCCCUAGCCUCGCUCAGUGGUCAAGGAUCUUGCAUUGCCAUGACCUGUGGUAUAGGUCUCAGAAGUGGCUUGGAUCUGGCAUUGCUAUAGCUGUGGCAUAGGCCAGUAGUUAAAGCUCCAAUUAGACCUUUAGCCUGGGAACCUCCUUAUGCCACAGGUGUGGCCCUAAAAAAGACAAAAAAAAAAAAAGGAUGAAUUUUUAAUAUUGGAGGAAAUGUAUACAUGAAUGUUCUGCUCUAGUUUUGCAACGUAUCUUUAAUUCUAAAAUUGUUGGAAAAUAAGUAAAAAGAAAGAAAAGGAAUGUAAAGGGAAAGAAGGAGGGAAAGGAGGGAGGAGUGUUUCAUACAGUUAAAAGGAGGUAAAAGCAAGAAACAAAGAUCCAGGCAAACUUUAUCAAGGCAUUGAUCCCUUUGCUUUCAAUGUAGAGUGGUAUUUCCCAAAAACUAUGGAAGGGAAAGAAUAUUGAAAGUUCAACAAUUUACUCAUAUUCAGAUGCAUAUAACUCUGCCUUAGUUUAGUGAUAUUCAAUGCCUUUUUUUUUUUUUAAGGCCAUCUGUGGUUAACUGCUUCUACCUUAUGUUGCUUGGGUACAUUACCUUUAAACACAGGGUUUUAUUCUAAUACAUAUGCAGGUGGUACAAUAAAAAACCUGAUAUUGUGGUAAAUAAAUACUUCCCAGGGAGUAAGCUGUCCCUGUCUUUGCAAUGAAUGCAUGCUUGAAGAGAAAACUUUACUCAGUGGGUUUGUGGCAUCUGGGAUAUGUUAGUUCAUUUAAUAUGGACAUGUGGUUUACUGUCAUGAAGGAGUUUACGCACCACUAUAACCAAACCAUCCACUAAGAGUUAUACCAUCUCUAUAAUGAAAUAAACAUAUACAGUGUGUCACAGAAGAUAUUUUUGUGGCAGAUAUACAUUCUUCAUAUUGUUUGUCUUUUCAAAGCGUGGGAGAAAAACUAGCAGAUGUACUUGUAAGGGCAGAGUUAUACGGGAGCUGAACCAAUGAUUUAAAAUUUAUCAGAACAUGAUAGGAGUUCUCAUUAACCACUUUGAGCUAUUUGCAAUAAAUAAACUCCAGUGAUUUUUGUCUGUGUUAUGUUUCGUCAUGUUGCUCUAAUUCCUGGCAAAUCCUUCUUGAUUGUUUGGCUUUGCAAAGUGUUUUGCUAAUGUCCCUUUUAACAUUCUCCACAUUGCUGGUAGCAACCUAGACUUAUUUAAAAAGAUUGCAUUUCCACUUGCAGCUUUUUACAGAAAUUUAAGAUUUGGAUUCUAAGAAGAUGUCUCCAUCUAAGUGUGCAACAUUGACACCUCUAUCUAAUCUAUCUCUUGGAAAUAAUCAAUCAGCUGAAUCAUAUUCCUCUUUACAGGAAAAAAAUGUAUUAUUAAAUUCAUGAGACCCCAUUGUGUUAUAAGAAACCAUGUAUCAUAUCCAUAUCUCUCUGUAUAGAUACACCAUUUACAAGCAAACAAGUAGAUAAUAGACCAUAUACUCUGAAAAUCUUUCAUGUCUUUACCUUACAUCUUAUACAGUAUGGUGUAAUGAGAAUGGUAUUAACCUUAGCAUCAAAGAUUUUGAUUCAAAUCUCAAUUUUACCACUAACAAAAUUUGUAAUCUUGGCCUUUGUUUAUCUGUUUAUUUAUUUAACCAGUUUAAGCGUCAGAUUCUUUAUCUAUAAAAAUCAUUAAAAAGGUAUAAUGUGCAGGGUUGUCUGUAGAUUUUUAAAUGUCAGAAAAAAGUUCAAUACAAUAGUUAGAUCAUAAUAGAGAUUAUAUAAGCCUUAUUUCCCCUUUUCUUCCCUUCUUCUGAGGUGUGUAACCUACAAGUGCUCCAUGGUAAAUACACAGUAAGUGUUCUGUCUUCAUUUACUAAUCAGUUAAAUACACAUAAAUUAGUCAAUUUUCUACAAAUAGGUUAUAAGGUAUUUUUGCAAAGUAAUUUAGAAAAAUAUGAUUUUAAUUUUUUAAAUCAGCUCCCAACAUUCAGUCAAAAAUUGCUGUGUAUUUUCAGGAAUUAAAUGAAGUAAAAAGAUUAUAUAUGUGUGUAUGUGUGUGUGUGUGUACAAUUUUAUUCAACAUAUAUAAUAUUACUUACUGAUAUGGACUCAUGUUUUUUAAAUUAAAUAAAAAUUCUAUAUACUUGAGAGUAAAAAAUAUACAUAAGAAUACUUAUGGUAAUGUUUUUGUUAGUAGUGAAAAAUUGAAAAUAACCUAACUACACACUCUCACAUACACACACGUACAGACACCGGAAAAAUAUAGAUAAGAAUUAUUAGAAAGGGGAAGAAAUAAGUUUUUCUCAUAAUAUGUUAAGAAUAAAAUCAAGUUAUUGCUGCUUUUUAGUUAAUAGUAAGAAAAUGGAGAAAUACAUAUAUAAAGUAUAUGUAGCAAGGAUUAGAAGAACAUGAACCAAAAACAGUUCUUGGAGUAGGGAGGUGGAUUGUGGUAGCUAACUCUUUUAUAUUACACAUUUUUCUAAUAUUUAGACUUUGUACUAUUUUGUGUGCAAUAUCGUAUACAUAAAAAUAUGAUUUUCUAACUGAAAAUGAUUUGAAAACUUGUCCAUUAAGGCAAAUAACCAAUGUAAAUUUAACUCUAUAUCCCUCAGUUAAUCUACUUUAUAAAAUUGUGGAAAUAAUUUGAAAUAAUGCGUGGGUGAGUUCCCGUCGUGGCUCAGUGGUUGACAGAUCUGACAGGGAGCGAUGAGGUUGCAAGUUCGAUCCCUGGCCUUGCUCAGUGGGUUAAGGAUCCGGCGUUGCCGUGAGCUGUGGUGUAGGUUGCAGAUGCGGCUUGGAUCCCGCAUUGCUGUGGCUCUG
rnacentral:lncRNA from 1 species